GCGCUUGUAUACUAAUUGAGUGGGAGGUGCCAACAUCAGUCUGAACAAGGAUUGGUUAGCUGGGGGCCGUGUCGCUAACCAGACAGAAGCAAACGAUCCAUCCAUUGCUUUGACUCUGUCUCUUGUAGCUAAUGUGACUGUGGGGUCACUCUCCAGUGGUGAGAGAGAGCAAGAUAUAGAGGAAGUUUAUGUAUGGUUAUGUAAGUCAUAAUGGUAAUUUAUUGUUCUUGUGCUAGUUGCACAAAGUCCAGUCUGUCAGGAAAUCGUGUACAUCUUUUUCCUUGUAGGAAAAGCAAGGUUUUUCGUUUUUGGGUGCGUUUUGUGCAGGUGAAGUGAGCAGACUUCACUGCCGCGUCUGUCACCACACACUCGGUCGUUUGUGGCGUUCAUUUCACUCCGGAGAGUUAUAGACCUGGAGAUUUGUUGGAGUCUCGGAUGGGAUUUUAUCUGAGACUGAUUGCCAAUGCUGUUCCCUCGGUGCACUCGAUGGAAUCAAGUCCACCACCAUCAAGGCUUUCACCUGAAUCUGGAGCGGGCAAGACUGGAGGACCAACUUGCAGAAAUUCCAUGCACCGAAAAAGAGCUCUUAGCAGAAUUUUGGCAGAGAGUGCAGCCAGUAAUGAAGGGAUAGAUGCACCUAGCACUGUAGAUUUUGAAGAGACAGAGGGCUUCUCUCUACAGGAUCCUGGACCAUUAGUGCUUCAUCGUGAGUCACAGUGCAACAUCAGAUGUCUGCAAUGCUCAUCAGUUUUCCUUGGACUAGGGUGGCCCCUAAAUCAUGGCUGCA